UGCUGUAGUGCAGAGGUUCCCGAGAUGGAGAGCUGACACAGGACAGCAACCCAGAGAAGAAAAAAUGUGAGCUGGACCUUCAAUGCUUGGCAGCAUUGAAGAGGAAAAGCAUCUCAGAUAAAGGAAAAGAAAGACGUUCAACUCUACCAACUGUCUAUAGCAUUUCACAGUGUUGUGGAUGAUUAUGCUGUCUAGGGAACUGAGUAGUUACUGCACUUUCAAAAACAUCAUCUCACAGUCCUGAGUGAUCUAUCCACACAUCCAUCUUCAAGCUUCCCAAAGGCAGGAAUCACCUAUUGUUCGUCUGUAAACUCCAAUGAGAAACAUACAGUCUGGUGUAUGGGAGGUCAUCAAAACAAGUGUGGAGGUAUAAGCUAAGACUGACAACUGCCUCCCAAGUUUCUAUUCAAAAGUAAUCAUUUUGGAUGUAAAUCUCAUCAGGAAUGUGUUUAAACUCAGGAACUGCUGAAUUGUACUGUAACUUGGCUCAUCCCAAAUAGUGCAGUUGUCUUCACAAUGGAGAGACUGUCACAGCCUAAAAAGACACGUGACUCUGAGCAUCAGUUUACUGGCUGCCCACUCAAUGAUUCAGACUCCUCCAUUCUUUGUGUGGAAGAGAACUGGCCUUCCGGGAGCCUGAGGCCAAGUGAGAGAACCUUCUGAAAGCCGUCACUGCAUGGGGAGCCUGGACUUAC
rnacentral:lncRNA from 1 species